ACCAGCCCACACAGGCAAAGAAGAGGCAGCUAGCUCCAUCACGGGGGCCACAAGCUGACGUACUGCCUUUGCGCAUGUCGGCCGUCACGAUGUCUCAAAUAGAUUACCUCCUCUGGUCUGAGCCACCAAAACCACAAGAUGCAGCUGCCACCCCAACCUGUGCAUUCUGGAGCUAAUUUCUACCAGGGCCUUCUCUCUGGGAGGAGCUGGAAUGUAUGCACAGAUAGGAUGUCUUUGAUAAGAGUUUACAUUUGGGGCCAGCCACCCGCCCCCACUCCUGAUUUACUUGACGUGCUAAAAACAUUCCCUUUGUGGGAUGGGAUGCCAUUUCUACAACCAUCUGUCUUCACCUGACAGGAAGUACUGGGGCCUGCAUGGUUAACACAGGCUGUUUCUCUUCUCCUGCUCUACAUUCUUUAAAGGGCCCUCUUUGCCCUCUCCUGCCAUUUCUUCACCCUAAUGACCGAGAGCUCCCUCAGAACUCUUCCUGUGUCUCACCCUCACUCCCAUCCUAUCCCAGUGAGUGCUGGCCAGAGGCAGCUGCUCCCUUCGAAACAGACGGAACAUUUUCUCAGG
rnacentral:lncRNA from 1 species